CCUGACUGCUAUCGGAUUGAUACUAAGCCAUGCGAGUCUUUGUAGCAAUACAAGGCAUACGGCUCAGUAACGCGUAGUCAACCUACCCUAUGGACAAGAAUAAUCUCGGGAAACUGAGCAUAAUUCUUGAUAGAUCAUAAUGCCUGGAAUGGUUUAUGGUUAAAAUGAUUCGUCGCCAUAGGAUGGGACUGCGGCCUAUCAGCUUGUUGGUGAGGUAAUGGCCCACCAAGGCGAUAACAGGUACGGGCUCUGAGAGGAGAAGCCCGGAGAUGGGUACUGAGACAAGGACCCAGGCCCUAUGGGGCGCAGCAGGCGAGAAAACUUUGCAAUGUGCGAAAGCACGACAAGGUUAGUCCGAGUGAUUUCUGCUAAAGAGAUCUUUUGCUAGUCAUAAAACCACUAGUGAAUAAGGGGUGGGCAAGUUCUGGUGUCAGCCGCCGCGGUAAAACCAGCACCUCAAGUGGUCAGGAUGAUUAUUGGGCCUAAAGCAUCCGUAGCCGGCUCUGUAAGUUUUCGGUUAGAUCUAUAUGCUCAACGUAUUGGCUGCCGAAAAUACUGCAGUGCUAGGAAGUGGGAGAGGUAGACGGUACUUGAUAGGAAGGGGUAAAAUCCUUUGAUCUAUCGAUGACCACCUGUGGCGAAGGCGGUCUACCAGAACACGUUCGACGGUGAGGGAUGAAAGCUGGGGGAGCAAACCGGAUUAGAUACCCGGGUAGUCCCAGCUGUAAACGAUGCAGACUCGAUGAUGCAUUGGCAUAUAGCCAGUGCAGUGUCGCAGGGAAGCCGUUAAGUCUGCCGCCUGGGAAGUACGUACGCAAGUAUGAAACUUAAAGGAAUUGGCGGGGGAGCACCACAAGGGGUGAAGCCUGCGGUUC
rnacentral:rRNA from 1 species